CACAACCACCCAUCUCUCCCCCACCCUGUGCCUAAUGUGGUUAACGUGCGCGGAAACUCUGCGUCGCGGAACUGCCCAAUACGAUAGGAAAUAUGUGCAGAGGAAAUGCCUUCCCUGACCGCUGAAUGAAGUCUGAGACUUCAAGGGGCUGAUUGACAUUUGAGGAAAACAGUUAGUUUUUGCAUACGUGCGAUCUUCCUAGAUGAAGAAAAUUCCACAGCUGUCACCUUUGCUUGAUCAGUCCGGCUGUCCAGGAUGAAUUUAAUGCCAACCCGGGGACUGUGCGGGCCGGUCCACUCGUGUUGUGAGAAAACAGGUUACACCUUCAAACGCUUUCCUGCUCCCCGAUACCACAUGGUGCAGUCACCUCCUCGCAAAGCGCACACUGUGGCCAAUUUUUCUUUCCGUGUUUACAGAGAUAAAUGUGGGGUGAGGCGGUGGGACCUAUGGAUUGAUCAUGCGCUGUCCUGUGUGACAGGAAAAUGGGUGUUUGAUCUUGUUUUGUGCUAUAAGAAACUCUUCAGAAAUCUCCUGGAAAAAAAAAAUCUCAUAAACCUAGGUUAGUGGCCACAUAUGGGAUCCAUUAACUCCUCAUUUCUGCUUGUUCUUAGCAAAUUUUUGUCUGGUGACAACACAUGAACCUUGGGGUGUUUUUGUUUUGCUUCACACCACAGAGAACUCUGUUGACUUGCUUCAGUUUUGAGAAAAUAUGCAGCACAAAGCAGGCUGUGGUCGGGUGAAACAACGGACAGCAAGUAGAACUUGGAACGUUUGGUUCGUGGGGACGCAGGGGGACGUGUUCUUCAGAUUUCAGGGGAUUCCAGAGUUGCCGACGUUCUGGGAAGAAUCUUCCUUUCGUGGUGAAACUGAGAGACCUACGUUAAAUUCCUCUUAGAUCACAGCUAGACGUGGGUUUGAUGGUCUCAAGCCACCUUUUCACUGUACAUUCAUCCCAUAAAUAGAAGAUGAAUAAAGAUGUCAAACUCCAUCCAUAUAAUAUUCUGACACACGUGGCUGUCUCUGUGAAAGAGGAGCUGGGAUGAAGGAGGACUCAGUGGAGUCCACAGAGCCAAGGACUGCAACAUGCCUCGGUGAAUUUAAGCGCACAAAUAAGACCGUGUGGAUUACCAGCCAAUAGCUAUGGAGCUUCAGCUGUCAACCUUAUCCUGAACGGACAUUUGUGGAAGGACAAUGGUUGGGCUAGUAUAGUGUGAGUUCAACGUGGGCUACUUUCCUUAAGCCACCGUCCUUAAAUUUUGUGUUUUAAAUAGUGGUUUUCCAGGCAAACAAAGUCAGGUCUAUACUUAAAGCAAGGGGUCCCGAGACCAGAUUCAGUUCUUCACGUUCCGAGUAAAAAUACAUGGACCCCGAUUCGGGGAUUAUACUACUAAGAUUUAUUCAUCUUUCUGUGCCCUAGAUAGGAAAAGAACCAAAUCUAACAAGCAAGGAAUACACUGCCAAAUAUUGAUAAUUCCUUCUCUGGAAUACUCACAGCUAUUUUUAGUGUGUUAAUGUAAAAAGCCAGUGAGAUGAAAAGUGAAGUGAUCCGUUUCCAGAAGAAAAACCAGCCGAAUCUUCAUUAAUAAUUCCUUGUAGAAUGCUCCAUGGGCCUUUAUCUGACAGCCUGACAAGCUGAACUAAACAACAGAGACUGUAGGAAUGUAAAAGACAUAAUCUUAACACCAAACCUUCUGAAGAUUUGGCUGUCAUUUUACAUUAAAGGCAAGGGGUAAAAACCUCCAUUGAAACAGAAGGAGCUUGCAACCUGAUUAUAGUGCCAGAAUUUAGUGAGAGAAGAAAAGGCAGGCAUCUGAGUUAGCAAAUGGUGGUAUUGAAGAGUAUUGAACUAAGCUUUCUUUCCACGUCUGGCUUGGGAUUUUUGAGAGCCGAAGACGAUGAUGCGGGUAUGAUAAGACGCAACGUAGCUAUUCCUGGGCCUAGUGACAAAUCUUCGUUAUCAAUAAAAACUAUGUAACCAGUGUUGGACGCGGUAUAAAAGCUAACUCAAACACC